AUUGAACGCUGGCGGCAUGCUUUACACAUGCAAGUCGAACGGUAACAGGCCUUCGGGUGCUGACGAGUGGCGAACGGGUGCGUAAUGCAUCGGAACGUGCCCAGAGGUGGGGGGUAACGCAGCGAAAGCUGUGCUAAUACCGCAUGUGAUCUGAGGAUGAAAGCGGGGGACCAGGCAGCAAUGUUUGGCCUCGCGCCUUUGGAGCGGCCGGUGUCAGAUUAGGUAGUUGGGGGGGUAAAGGCCUACCAAGCCGACGAUCUGUAGCUGGUCUGAGAGGACGACCAGCCACACUGGAACUGAGACACGGCCCAGACUCCUACGGGAGGCAGCAGUGGGGAAUUUUGGACAAUGGGCGCAAGCCUGAUCCAGCAAUGCCGCGUGCGGGAAGAAGGCCUUCGGGUUGUAAACCGCUUUUGUACGGAACGAAAAGGCUCUGGCUAAUACCUGGGGCUGAUGACGGUACCGUAAGAAUAAGCACCGGCUAACUACGUG
rnacentral:rRNA from 1 species